rnacentral:rRNA from 1 species
CAAAGUACUUUGAAGAGAGAGUUAAACAGGGCGUGAAACCGCUAGCUGGUAAACGAGUGGAGCCACGAAGUCGUUUCGUAGAAUAAAGAAUACAAAUUCAGUUGGGGUCUCGGCUCUAAUGCACUUUUGUUUAUUCUUCUAUGUAUGCGUACACUGCAACCAAUUAGACAAUCAAUUGUGGAAACAAUUAUGCUUAACCGUAGGUAGCCUGGUGUGAUCCUUGUGGUCAUUUUGGGUGUAUGAUGGUUAUCAUGAGAACUACAAUUGAAUACUGAUUGGCAAAAUGAAAAUCCAUAAUCUGGUUUUAGAUAACACUAGCAAUGUUGUAUGUGUGUACAAGUAUUUAUCAUUAGCGUAAGCCUAGUAGUUUUAAAUUUAGGCUGGCAAGCUACCUUUGAUUUCGGUCUUUGGUGCUUGUUUAGUUUCCUAUCUAAUUGGCUAUUAACUUUGCUAGUGGUUUUGUGCUUGCUAUGUUGGCAUAUAUGCAACAAUUGUCAAGUUAUUAUUGGCAGUGAGUAGGUCGGCUUUCCACACGACCCGUCUUGAAACACGGACCAAGGAGUCUAGUUAAGUAUCGAGUUGAUCGGUCUUGAUUAGGCCAGACAGAGAAAUUCUUCUCGAUUAAAGCAAAGUGACAAUUAUGUGAUCUCUAUGAAAAUAGACUAAGCGCAACAUAUACCCAUUCGUAUAACUAUACGCGCAAGUUUAGUUGGUGGAGUAAAGAGAUACUUGACUGGUACCCGAAAGAUGGUGAUGCCUGGGCAAAUUGAAGCCAGAGGAAACUCUGGUGGAGGAUUUAGCGAUUCUGACGUGCAAAUCGAUCGUCAGACCUGGGUUAGGGGCGAAAGACUAAUCGAACCAUC